UACGUAGGGUGCGAGCGUUGUCCGGAAUAUUGGGCGUAAAGAGCUUGUAGGUGGUUUGUCGCGUCUGCUGUGAAAAUCCGAGGCUCAACCUCGGACUUGCAGUGGGUACGGGCAGACUAGAGUGUGGUAGGGGAGACUGGAAUUCCUGGUGUAGCGGUGGAAUGCGCAGAUAUCAGGAGGAACACCGAUGGCGAAGGCAGGUCUCUGGGCCAUUACUGACACUGAGA
rnacentral:rRNA from 1 species